GGAGAGGUGGCCGAGUGGUUGAUGGCACUGGUCUUGAAAACUAGUAUAACCGAAAGUUAUCGCGGGUUCGAAUCCCUGACUCUCCG
rnacentral:tRNA from 1 species